UGUGUGUGUGUGUGUGUGUGUGUGUGUGUGUGUGUCUUUCCUAUACACGCGUGUUCCACCACAUUGGCGCGCGCG
rnacentral:pre_miRNA from 10 species